rnacentral:rRNA from 1 species
GAUAGCAGCUAUAUCAACCUGCAACUAACAACUAACAACCCACUGAAGCUCAGCAGGUGUGAGCCUGUCCAGUACCUAGAUGGAGACCUCCUGGGAAAACUAAGGUUGCUGCUGGAA